AGGUUUAAAGAUUGGCGAUCCGUUGGAUACCGAUCGAGUUAUAGCCAAAACUUGGCGCAAAAAUGAGGAAAAUUUUACAUUUUCUCAAACAGGGUAAGGAACUUAGUUUCUCGAAUAACUUCUGGCACAGACAUCUGAGGGCAUGGCCGUCCAAGAAGAAAAUGUAGCCAUUGGUGCCAUCUAUCGACCACAGGUUAAAGAUUGGCGAUCCGUUAGAUACCGACCGAGUUAUAGGCAAAAUUUGGCGCAAAAAUGAUCAAAAUUUUACAUUUUCUCAAACAGGGUAAGGAACUUGGUUCCUCGCAUAACUUCUGGCACAGACAAUUGAGGGCAUAGCCGUCCAAGAAGAAAAUGUAGCCAUUGGUGCCAUCUAUCGACCACAGGUUAAAGAUUGGCGAUCCGUUGGAUACCGAUCGAGUUAUAGCCAAAACUUGGCGCAAAAAUGAGGAAAAUUUUACAUUUUCUCAAACAGGGUAAGGAACUUAGUUUCUCGAAUAACUUCUGGCACAGACAAUUGAGGGCAUAGCCGUCCAAGAAGAAAAUGUAGCCAUUGGUGCCAUCUAUCGACCACAGGUUAAAGAUUGGCGAUCCGUUGGAUACCGAUCGAGUUAUAGCCAAAACUUGGCGCAAAAAUGAGGAAAAUUUUACAUUUUCUCAAACAGGGUAAGGAACUUGGUUUCUCGAAUAACUUCUGGCACAUACAUCUGAGGGCAUAGCCGUUCAAGAAGCAAAUGUAGCCAUUGGUGCCAUCUAUCGACCAUAGGUUAAAGAUUGGCGAUCCGUUAGAUUCCGAUCGAGUUAUAGCCAAAACUUGGCGCAAAAAUGAGGAAAAUUUUACAUUUUCUCAAACAGGGUAAGGAACUUGGUUUCUCGAAUAACUUCUGGCACAUACAUCUGAGGGCAUAGCCGUCCAAGAAGAAAAUGUAGCCAUUGGUGCCAUCUAUCGACCACAGGUUAAAGAUUGGCGAUCCGUUGGAUACCGAUCGAGUUAUAGCCAAAACUUGGCCCAAAAAUGAGGAAAAUUUUACAUUUUCUCAAACAGGGUAAGGAACUUGGUUUUUCGAAUAACUUCUGGCACAUACAUCUGAGGGCAUGGCCGUCCAAGAAGAAAAUGUAGCCAUUGGUGCCAUCUAUCGACCACAGGUUAAAGAUUGGCGAUCCGUUGGAUACCAACCGAGUUAUAGGCAAAACUUGGCGCAAAAAUGAGGAAAAUUUUACAUUUUCUCAAACAGUGUAAGGAACUUAGUUUCUCGCAUAACUUCUGGCACAGACAUCUGAGGGCAUGGCCGUCCAAGAAGAAAAUGUAGCCAUUGGUGCCAUCUAUCGACCACAGGUUAAAGAUUGGCGAUCCGUUGGAUACCGACCGACUUAUAGCCAAAACUUGGCGCAAAAAUGAGGAAAAUUUUACAUUUUCUCAAACACGGUAAGGAACUUGGUUCCUCGCAUAACUUCUGGCACAGACAUUUGAGGGCAUGGCCGUGUAAAAAGAAAAUGUAGCCAUUGGUGCCAUCUAUCGACCACAGGUUAAAGAUUGGCGAUCCGUUAGAUUCCGACCGAGUCAUAGGCAAAAUUUGGCGCAAAAAUGAGGAAAAUUUUACAUUUUUUCAAACAGGGUAAGGAACUUGGUUCCUCGCAUAACUUCUGGCACAUACAUCUGAGGGCAUGGCCGUCCAAGAAGAAAAUUUAGCCAUUGGUGCCAUCUAUCGACCACAGGUUAAAGAUUGGCGAUCCGUUGGAUACCGACCGACUUGUAGGCAAAAUUUGGUGCAAAAAUGAGGAAAAUUUUACAUUUUCUCAAACAGGGUAAGGAACUUGGUUUCUCGAAUAACUUCUGGCACAUACAUCUGAGGGCAUGGCCGUCCAAGAAGAAAAUGUAGCCAUUG